rnacentral:rRNA from 1 species
AGCAGCCGCGGUAAUUCCAGCUCCAAUAGCGUAUAUUAAAGUUGUUGCAGUUAAAAAGCUCGUAGUUGAACUUCAGGCUUGGUCGGGCGGUCCGCCUAACGGUGUGUACUGUCUGACUGAGUCUUACCUCUUGGUGAGCCGGCGUGCGCUUUAUUGUGUGCGUCGGGGAACCAGGACUUUUACCUUGAGAAAAUUAGAGUGUUUAAAGCAGGCUAAGGCUUGAAUACAUUAGCAUGGAAUAAUGAAAUAGGACGACGAUCCUAUUUUGUUGGUUUCUAGGAUUGACAUAAUGAUUAAUAGGGAUAGUUGGGGGCAUUAGUAUUCAAUUGUCAGAGGUGAAAUUCUUGGAUUUAUUGAAGACUAACUACUGCGAAAGCAUUUGCCAAGGAUGUUUUCAUUAAUCAAGAACGAAAGUUAGGGGAUCGAAGACGAUCAGAUACCGUCGUAGUCUUAACCAUAAACUAUGCCGACUAGGGAUCGGACGAUGUUAAUCUUUUAAUGACUCG